CAAAAUGGGAGGUAAAUUUUUCCUAAGGCUAAAUAUUGGCGAGAGACCGAUAGCGAACAAGUACUGUGAGGGAAAGAUGAAAAGAACUUUGAAAAGAGAGUUAAACAGUACAUGAAAUUGUUGAAAGGAAACGAUUGAAGUCAGUCAUACCAACGGGAAAUCAACCUUUUGAGCUUGGUUUCGUGGGUUUUGAAGAGUUUCAAAGCCUUCGGAUUCGCGAGAUUGGGAUCUCUUGGUGUAAUUUUUCGUACGGUAGUCAACAUCGGUUUUGAAUGUCAUAAAAAGACUGGAGGAAUGUAGCUUCGAUCUCGUAUUGAAGUGUUAUAGCCUUUGGUAGAUGAGAUGUUUGAGACCGAGGAUUGCAACGGAUACCCUUCAGGGUUUCGUCUGAUCUCUGAUACGUUGCCUUGAUGUUGAAAGCUUGCUUAUGAUGUUAGGGUAUUACGGUCAAAAGGUUAGAACGAAUUACA
rnacentral:rRNA from 1 species